rnacentral:rRNA from 1 species
CCCAGACUCCUACGGGAGGCAGCAGUCGGGAAUAUUGCGCAAUGGAGGAAACUCUGACGCAGUGACGCCGCGUAUAGGAAGAAGGUUUUCGGAUUGUAAACUGUUGUCAUCAGGGAAGAUAAAAGACAGUACCUGAGGAGGAAGCUCCGGCUAACUAUGUGCCAGCAGCCGCGGUAAUACAUAGGGAGCAAGCGUUAUCCGGAUUUAUUGGGUGUAAAGGGUGCGUAGACGGGAAAGCAAGUUAGUUGUGAAAUCCCUCGGCUUAACUGAGGAACUGCAACUAAAACUGUUUUUCUUGAGUGUCGGAGAGGAAAGUGGAAUUCCUAGUGUAGCGGUGAAAUGCGUAGAUAUUAGGAGGAACACCAGUGACGAAGGCGACUUUCUGGACGAUAACUGACGUUGAGGCACGAAAGUGUGGGGAGCAAACAGGAUUAGAUACCCGCGUA